AGCUACAGGGUCUGUCUCUCCUUGGUGGUGGAUCAUCAUUGUGCUUGUGGGUUUAGCAGCUCUCAUAGCAGCUGUUGUGGUGGUCAACAUAUGGAUAAGAACUAAAGGAAACCAAACACUGAGAGAAGACAAUGUUGUGCUGAAUGAUGAGGAUGAGGAUGAAGAUGAAGGUACAGUGAAGUUUGAAAACGUUGGAGAACCUUCUGCUUCUAUCAGACUCCACUGAUCAACAACUUCAUCAUCAGCAUGAAGUCGUAAAAGAAACGCAUCACAUAAUUUGAAGUGCUUUGCUAGAUAAUAUCAAACUUCUCUUUCAGAUUUAAUCAUUUUCUAUUCAGCACUGACAGCUACGCCAUUGUUUAACUAUUAAAUCUUGAUUUGUAAAGAUCAACAGAUUGUUGUUGUUUUUUUCAUCAUUAUCAUUUACACUUUAUAGUUCUUCUUUAAACACAUAGGCUACAUGGUAUGAAGUGUGAUAUAACUGCCAUAUUUUUUUUAGAAGAUUCAUUUUUUCUGUAAACAUGUUCAUUGGAAGUCUAAUAUGUUUGAUGUGCUUUGCUGUGUGCGCUUGAAUGAGCUUUCAACUCUAACAGAGUCUUGUUAGAAUUAUAUAAUCUGCAAAUUAAACUGCUUGAUAACCACUAAUGCAUUGUGUUUUUUGUAUAAAUGUAUCACACAUACUAUGAAAUAGUUAUAUAUAUUCUUUCCUAAACUCUGCAUAAAAAAUGAUAUGGAAACAGAAU